GCGGACGGAUGUGGCUCUUACGGAGCGCGAACAUUUCCCCCCGUUUUAAAAGUGUGCAGCCGUUUUGUGAAGAACAUUGAGAAGGACAUACUGAGAGGACGCGUGCAAAGAAUACGUCGGACACCCAAUUCGAUGUCGGCAAUUUCCCCAGCAAGACCGGGAUACAAAGCGAGGCUAAUCUGAGCGCCGACAUAGUUAAGAGCUGUUCUCGUAAGGUACAAGAUGGCCAAUAAUUAGUUUUAUAUGACAAUGUACUCGAGCGAGGACUUCGUAUAAUUUAAAUCGAACUUCAUGUACACUUCUUCUCAUAAAACGAUGCAAUGCAGUGGAUCCCUCAGGAAAUUCGACAACCUCUUGGAAAGGAAUUUACAAGAUAAAUAUUGGUUAUGCCAUACAAGACGCGAGGAGAGAUCGAUCAGCAUCAAAAAAGAAAAAGACUAGACAUAGAGAACGUCGAGGAAACUAGGCUGAUAUUUUUUUAUGAAUCGUUUUUCAUUUUAAAGCACAAUUUUUUUAAUUCUUUUUAAUGCGCGAUAUUUCAAUUCGUUUUAAUACGCAAUGUUUUAAUUUGUUAAUGUGUUCUCAAAAUAAAUGUAAUUCGAACUUUUCCUCCAUUCAUCCCUGAACUAAACAAUUAAAUUUUCAGUGGAAAUUGAAAUCUCAAAUUUAAAAAAAAUGUUAAUUUGUUCGUCAUAAAACUAAUUAACAUUGAUUAAUUACUCCAUUGGCAUUGCUUUUAUGACGGACAGAUUUGCGCACAAUAUACUGCGCAGCGUACAAGUGCGUAUGACCAACACCGUAUAAUAAGGUCUCUGCUUGUAUGCGGAAGUGUCCUUGUGCAGCACUAUUUUCUGUGCUCUCGUUCGAGUUUGAGCUUCUUAUGCCUUUCUUUCAAAUAAAGUGCCUUUA